AGUAAAUAUUUACAAAAUAGUCUGUGACCUUCGAAUGCACAGACCACUGAUGGUGCAGUCUGAGAACCAGUAUAUAUUCCUGAAUGACUGCAUCAUGAAUGUCAUCCGAUCAAAACAAAAUUCAAAUCAGUUUUAUAAGAACAAUGCAGCAGAGGCAAUCUAUGAGAACAUUACACCAGCAAGAGUUUGAGCAACGAGCUACGAAUAUUUGUGAACAAGAGCCUGCCGUCAUUUGAUCUAAAUAAAAACAAAGUGAAAAUGGUA